AUUGAACGCUGGCGGCAGGCCUAACACAUGCAAGUCGAGCGAGCGGCGGACGGGUGAGUAAUGUCUGGGAAACUGCCUGAUGGAGGGGGAUAACUACUGGAAACGGUAGCUAAUACCGCACACCAUCAGAUGUGCCCCGAUGGGAUUUGCUAGUAGGUGGGGUAAUGGGUCACCUAGGAGACGAGCCCUAGCUGGUCUGUGAGGAUGACCAGCCACACGGGAACUGAGAAACGGUCCAGACUCCUACGGGAGGCAGCAGUGGGGAAUAUUGCACAAUGGGCGCAAGCCUGAUGCAGCCAUGCCGCGUGUAUGAAGAAGGCCUUCGGGUUGUAAAGUACUUUCAGCGAGGAGGCGUUACUCGCAGAAGAAGCACCGGCUAACUCCGUGCCAGCCGCCGCGGUAAUAC
rnacentral:rRNA from 1 species